CAGUAGCCGCGGGAAUACGUAUGUCACAAGCGUUAUCCGGAUUUAUUGGGCGUAAAGCGCGUCUAGGUGGUUAUGUAAGUCUGAUGUGAAAAUGCAGGGCUCAACUCUGUAUUGCGUUGGAAACUGUGUAACUAGAGUACUGGAGAGGUAAGCGGAACUACAAGUGUAGAGGUGAAAUUCGUAGAUAUUCGUAGGAAUGCCGAUGGGGAAGCCAGCUUACUGGACAGAUACUGACGCUAAAGCGCGAAAGCGUGGGUAGCAAACAGGAUUAGAUACCCCUGUAGUCCCUGUCUCUUAUACA
rnacentral:rRNA from 1 species